UUGAGCGAUUUACUUCGGUAAAGAGCGGCGGACGGGUGAGUAACGCGUGGGUAACCUACCCUGUACACACGGAUAACAUACCGAAAGGUAUGCUAAUACGGGAUAAUAUAUUUGAGAGGCAUCUCUUGAAUAUCAAAGGUGAGCCAGUACAGGAUGGACCCGCGUCUGAUUAGCUAGUUGGUAAGGUAACGGCUUACCAAGGCGACGAUCAGUAGCCGACCUGAGAGGGUGAUCGGCCACAU
rnacentral:rRNA from 1 species